AUGGCUGCGCGCGCGGCGACCCGUCUGUCUCAUUUUUUUUUUUUUUAAUGUAACCUGGUUUAUUGGGCUCUCGGCGUAUUCUUGCGUUCAUUCUGCACUGGGACAAGACACCACUGCACUAUUGGACUACGGCAAGCUGGUAACCGUCCGGUGGAGCUUCAUACAGGAACUACUGCCUUACCUGCUGGUGUCACAACGUUGGAUGAACGCACAAAAAGCGCGGAACGAGCUUUCAUAUAGAGCAAAAUAAAUAUUUACUCAUUGCACAAAA